UCAACAGUACUUGGUGACUAAUUGCCUGUAAAGGAUCAGGAAGAGAAGACAGAUGGAAAAAGCUGAGGCUCCUGUUCUGAGCAGAACAGGGCAAAAGGAAGAUCAAAUUUUAAGAGGAGUAAACUCUACCCCAUGAUGUGGGGCUUGCACUUAUGACUCCGAGAUCAAGAGUUGCAUGCGCUACCAACUGAGCCAGCCAGGCACCCUUCUAAUAUUUCUGAAGCUGUUAGUUAGAGCACGCCAGUGCUAUGCUCAAUACUUUUAGAAGAACGAUCUCAAAAAAAAAAAAAAAAAGAACGAUCUCAUUCAAUGUUAAUAAGGCUUGUUUCAGUAUGGAAUCUUGUGAUAGAGGAAGGUGAACGUGAGCUCACCAAAAAGGGGUAAAGAUUUGGAAAGGACAGUCAUUCUGGCAAAGGAGAAAAGAAAUCAGCUCCACACGGGUACGAGGGCUACUAACAAUAAGAGGCACAGAUGAGGGCAGAACUCACGCAUUGGCAACUGGACAAAUAAACACAAUUCCAUCAUUUCUUCAGGCCCUAAAGCAGGAACACGGAAAAUGGGCAGUAUUGUUAAUCCUCAGCUGGAGAUGUGCACGGCAUGUGGGACAGCAGAACAAAGCUGCAGGAGAACUGAGGAUACUUCUGACUCAUUGAAAGUGACCAACUAUGUCCACGUGGACGAAAGUGAUGCCAGGAAGAGUGUCACACAUUUGGAGACAGGCAAGAUUUCAGGGGCUGGAGGCCUCAGUGAAAUCAGACACUUAAGUUCAGCAAAUGGCACAACUAAAAAGACAGGAAAUUGUGUUCAGAGAGCAAAAUUUCCACAUUUAUGAUUCCAGAGGUGGCGGUCUGUCCAGCCCCAAGAAUAGACUGCUACAGACAAGUGGAGAGACAGUCACUAAAGUAAAGAUCAAGCCAGAAUGAGAUUAGGAUGCUGGACAAGCAAUCAACAUAAACAUUAAAGAGACAAGAGAUCAUGGAAGGAGGAAGAGUAAACUAUUCACAAGGAUUGGGAAUUAAAUUUUCAAUUACAUUCUUAAAUACAGCACCAUAAGGAAUGUGUUCUUAAGUAUCCAGAACAAAACAGACAUGCCUUGCUUAGUCUAUUUAUUUAGCCAAAUAAUUUUCAAAGAUUCCCUGAAUACCAUGCCUGAAAAACGCUCUGAAAAAGACAAAAAGAGAAGGAAACUUUCUUAAUCAUUAUUUGUCACAAUUCAAGGGCAAGCAUCAUCAUAAUGGUAAAAACUAAAGGCACAGACAAGCCGAAACCUGGGAGAAAAUCUUUGCAAAACAUAUAUUUGAUAAAACAAACAAAACACCCAUAUAUCUGAUUUAAGGACAGGUAUCCAAAAUACACCAAGAACUUGUAAAAUGCAACAAUAAAAAAAAAAAAAAAAAAACAGAAAAAUUUUUAAAGUGGGCGAAAGAAUCUGACCCUCCCAAUGAAGAUAUAGACAGAGAACAAAUAAGCAUAUGAAAAGAUGCUCAACGUCCUAUGUCACUGGGGAAUUGCAAAUUGAAACAACAAUGAGAUACCACUAUACCCCUAUUAGAAUGGCAAAAAUCCAAAGCACCAACAUCACUCAAUGCUAGUAAGGAUGUGGAGCAACAGGAGCUCUCAGUCAUUGCUGGUAAGAAUGCAGAACCAAACAGCCACUUAGGAAGACAGUUUGGCAGUUUCUUGCAAAACUAAACAUACACAUCAUAUGAUCCAACAAUCAUGCUCCUUUGUAUUUACCCAAAGAGUUCAAAACUCAGGCUACUUGGGUAUCC